GACAGAGGGUGCAAACGUUGUUCGGAAUUACUGGGCGUAAAGCGCGUGUAGGCGGCUCGGAAAGUCGGAUGUGAAAGCCCUGGGCUCAACCCAGGAAGUGCAUUCGAAACUCCCGAGCUCGAGUCCCGGAGAGGAUGGCGGAAUUCUCGGUGUAGAGGUGAAAUUCGUAGAUAUCGAGAGGAACACCUGUGGCGAAGGCGGCCUUCUGGACGGUGACUGACGCUGAGACGCGAAAGCGUGGGGAGCAAACAGG
rnacentral:rRNA from 1 species